UGAAGGACAGGGACUAUUUUCAUUCUCCUUUUAAAGUUUGGUCUGUCUUUAGUUUUAUAGUUUUGAUAGUUGAAUAUUCUUCAAUUUGAUAUAAUUGUGACAUUUGAUAUGAUCUGGUGCAGUUGUUUUCAGUAAAGUUGGAGUAGUAGAAUUCAGAGACUUUAUAAAUGUACUUCACCUUUUUGCAAGUCUGAUUAGCCAGGAAAAACCCUUUUCGGGCAGGGCCGUAACUAGCUCAGAGCAACGAAGGGGUGUGGAAGUGUUCUCGGGGGUGCUGUAAAAUUGACGGACAAUGUAUAUCUAUUGUUUUUAUGGUCGACAAAUCUUUCACAGGGUGGGGGGGGUGCGAAACUUUUUGCAGCCCUCCCCCACCCCUAGUUACAGACCUGACUUU